CACUUAGAUGUCCUGGGCUGCACGCGCGCUACACUGAUGUGUCCAGUAAGCACCUAACCUCUUCCGAAAGGAACGGGUAACCUUUGCAAAGCACAUCGUGAUGGGGAUAGAUUAUUGCAAUUAUUAGUCUUGAACGAGGAAUUCCUAGUAAGCACAAGUCAUCAGCUUGUGUUGAUUACGUCCCUGCCCUUUGUACACACCGCCCGUCGCUCCUACCGAUUGAAUGUUCCGGUGAGCUCUUCGGACUGCGCGGUCUGCAGUUUCUGCGUUCCGUGCGGAAAGUUGCGCAAACCUUAACAUUUAGAGGAAGGAGAAGUCGUAACA
rnacentral:rRNA from 1 species